GGGGGCGUACUGGCUUCGACAUAUUGUUAAUCGCUAGAGGUGCAUGUCGAGCUUUCAUGGAGUGCUCGUUAAUAAAACUAUGAAAACAAUAAAUGUAAGCAAUAUUUUUGCUUCUGUUAAAUCAGCGGUGAGCUAUGCAGUUAAUGCAUUCGCUCUAAUUGCUGCUCCUGUUGCAUUCGUUGCAAUAGCUGCGUAAUUAACCCGAUUUAAAAGCUUGAUAGGCGAAACGUAUCUAUUCGUCAAGCUUAUCUCGUAUUAUAAAAAAUAUAGAUUUUGCGUAGUAGGUUACUUUGUUUUGUAGUGCGCAAAUAUCACAAAACAGAUUCAUGUACAAUGCUGUGACUUCGAAGUCGUGCAUGAAUAUAUUCGAAGGAUAAACAUGUAGUACCUGUAGAGAAAGGUAGUAUGGACAUGGGUUCGAUUCCCAUCGCCUCCACCA
rnacentral:tmRNA from 1 species